rnacentral:rRNA from 1 species
AGAACGAACGCUGGCGGCACGCCUAACACAUGCAAGUCGAGCGCCCAGCAAUGGGAGCGGCGGACGGGUGAGGAACACGUGGGAAUAUGCCUUUCGGUUCGGCACAACUGCGGGAAACUGCAGCUAAUUCCGGAUACGCCCUUACGGGGAAAGAUUUAUCGCCGAAAGAUUAGCCCGCGUCUGAUUAGCUAGUUGGUGAGGUAAUGGCUCACCAAGGCUUCGAUCAGUAGCUGGUUUGAGAGAACGACCAGCCACACUGGGACUGAGACACGGCCCAGACUCCUACGGGAGGCAGCAGUGGGGAAUCUUGGACAAUGGAGGAAACUCUGAUCCAGCGAUGCCGCGUGAGUGAUGAAGGCCUUCGGGUUGUAAACUCUUUUACCAGGGAAGAUAAUGACUGUACCUGGAGAAUAAGCUCCGGCUAACUUCGUGCCAGCAGCCGC